AAAAAAAAAAAAAGAGUAAAAAAAUGUAGCCUCCCCCAAAAAGGACCCAACUCUUCCCUCUCCCUUUUCAAUCUUUACGCAGAUACUGUUGGGUUCAAACGGAGCUCUCAAUCAAUACCCAGUUCUCCCUUUCGGUUUAUACCCGAUAGAUUAGAGCAAUUACGAAUUUGCCUCGGAUUCUAACUUUCUGUAGUUGUAAUCCAAUACACAACAAAAAAGGAAACGCGAAACCGAAACUCUAAUAGCAGCCAGCAAAAUGGAAAGGAUGGCUUGAAUCGGUUAAGUGGUGUGCUCGAGAAUCGAGGAUUAGGAUAUUGAAAUUAAGAGUAUGUAUGUAUGUAUGCGUUAGAUCAACAAGGCGUAUAAUGGAUCAAAAAGAAAAUGGAAAGGAAGGAUUAAUAUGAUAUUGAAGAUGGAGAGAAGGAGAAAAUGAAACCAAUGAGAGAAAUUGCGGAGAUUGGAACUUGUGGAGAUGGUGACUGAAUAAUCAUCUCUCUGAUUAUUUUCAUUCCCUCUCUCUCUACUACCUUUUUUUGAAAUGUAUUCAUUCUCUCUCCCUUACAAGUUACAAUAGAAUAGACAAUAUGGAGUAGAGAGAGGAA
rnacentral:misc_RNA from 1 species